GAUGAAGAACGUAGCGAAAUGCGAUACGUAAUGUGAAUUGCAGAAUUCAGUGAAUCAUCGAAUCUUUGAACGCUUAUUGCGCUCUCUGGUAUUCCGGAGAGCAUGCUUGUUUGAGUAUCAGUAAACACCUCAACUUCCAUAUCUUGUUUUGAAAUGGGAGUUGGACUUGAGUGAUCCCAACGCUUUUCCUCACCGAAAAGUGGCGGGUUACUUGAAAUGCAGGUGCAGCUGGACUUUUCUCUGAGCUAUAAGCAUAUCUAUUUAGUCUGCCUAAAAAACAGAUUAUUACCUUUGCUGCAGCUAACAUAAAGGAGAUUAGUUCUUCUGCUGACUGAUGCAGGAUUCACAAAGACAGCUUCGGCCGACUUUGUAAACUCGAUCUCAAAUCAAGUAAGACUACCCGCUGAACUUAAGCAUAUCAAUAAGCGGAGGA
rnacentral:misc_RNA from 1 species